GAGUGAAGGAUAGCCAGCCGAAAGGCUGGGUAAUCCUGCAUAAUCUCGAAAGAGCAAAGCCUUCGGGCGCUUGGGGAGAGGCCUUGUCCCUAUCAGCUAGUUGGUGAGGUAAUGGCUUACCAAGGCGAUGACGGGUAGCUGGCCUGAGAGGGUGACCAGCCUCGAUGGGACUGAGACACGGCCCAUACUCCUACGGGAGGCAGCAGUUGGGGAUUUUGCACAAUGGACGAAAGUCUGAUGCAGCAACACUGCGUGAAGGAUGAAGGUUUUCGGAUCGUAAACUUCUUUUAUCUGGGAGUAAUCUUGAAAGUACCAGAUGAAUAAGCACCGGCUAACUACGUGCCAGCAGCCGCGGUAAUACGUAGGGUGCAAACGUUAUCCGGAAUUAUUGGGCGUAAAGAGUUCGUAGGUGGUAUUAUCAGUCAGGUAUUAAAGACCUCGGCUCAACCGAGGAAUCGUAUUUGAUACUGUAAUACUUGAGGUUUGCAGGGGCGGAUGGAAUUCAUGGUGUAGCAGUGAAAUGCGUAGAUAUCAUGAAGAACACCAAUGGCGAAGGCAGUCCGCUGGGCAACACCUGACACUGAGGAACGAAAGCGUGGGUAGCGAACGGGAUUAGAUACCCCGGUAGUCCACGCCGUAAACGAUGCAUACUAGGCAUUUGAAGUAUCGACCCUUCGAGUGCCGAAGCUAACGCGUUAAGUAUGCCGCCUGGGUAGUACGGCCGCAAGGCUAAAACUCAAAGGAAUUGACGG
rnacentral:rRNA from 1 species